ensembl:snoRNA LOC120099514 small nucleolar RNA SNORA40
AGCACUUGUGUGUGCUUUUGCCAACUGCUGGACAAAAGAAUGAAAGACAGGUGCAAAAAUAAAUCCUCCUUUGCAACCCGGAACCCAUUGUUCAGUAAGAGUUUUGAUACAUAUAAAAGGAAUAUG